rnacentral:rRNA from 1 species
CCCUAGUAACUGCGAGUGAAGCGGGAAAAGCUCAAAUUUCGAAUCUGGCGGUCGUAGAGGCCGUCCGAGUUGUAAUCUAGAGAAGCGUCUUCCGCGCUGGCCCGUGUACAAGUCUCCUGGAAGGGAGCGUCAUAGAGGGUGAGAAUCCCGUCUUUGACACGGACCACCAGUGCCAUGUGAUGCGCUCUCGACGAGUCGAGUUGUUUGGGAAUGCAGCUCAAAACGGGUGGUAAAUUCCAUCUAAAGCUAAAUACGGGCGAGAGACCGAUAGCGAACAAGUACCGUGAGGGAAAGAUGAAAAGAACUUUGGAAAGAGAGUUAAACAGUACGUGAAAUUGCUGAAAGGGAAACGCUUCGCGUCAGUCGCGUCGGUCGGGGAUCAACCUUGCGAGCGAUCGCUGGGCGCACUUCCCGUCCGACGGGUCAGCAUCAGUUUCCGUCCUCGUACAAGGGCGAGAGGAACGUGGCACUCUCCGGAGUGUGUUAUAGCCUUUCGUCGCAUGCGUCGACAGGGACUGAGGAACUCGGCACGCCCUUCGUGGGUCUCGUGUCUAGGAUGCUGGCAUAAUGGCGUCAAGCGACCCGUCUUGAAACACGGACCAAGGAGUCCAACAUGCCUGCGAGUGUUCGGGUGCCAAACCCGUGCGCGAAACGAAAGUGAUCGUCGAGACCUCUGUCAUGGAGGGCACCGACGCCCAGACCCGAGUCUUUGACCACGGUCCUGCGGUACAGCAUGCAUGUU